rnacentral:misc_RNA from 1 species
GAAUAACCCGCAGCCCGACCUGAGUGGAGCUCUUUUUAUGUGGAACGAAGUGGAACUUAAAAAGCGGGAACGGAGGGCGGAAAUUGCU